AUGGGUCGCGGCAAGGUGGUGCUGCAGCGGAUCGAGAACAAGAUCAGCCGCCAGGUGACGUUCGCCAAGCGCCGCAACGGCCUGCUCAAGAAGGCCUACGAGCUCUCCCUCCUCUGCGACGCCGAGGUCGCGCUCGUCCUCUUCUCCCACGCCGGCCGCCUCUACCAGUUCUCCUCCUCAUCCAACAUGCUUAAGACCCUCGAGAGGUACCAGAGGUACAUUUUUGCUUCCCAAGAUGCUGCCGUGCCAACUAGAGAUGAGAUGCAGAACAACUAUCUGGAGUAUAUGGAGCUGAAGGCAAGAGUUGAGGUUUUACAACACUCACAAAGGAAUCUCCUGGGCGAGGAUUUGGCUCCACUGAGUACAACGGAGCUUGAUCAGCUUGAGAGUCAAGUAGGCAAGACCUUGAGACAAAUAAGGUCAAGAAAGACUCAAGUACUGCUGGAUGAAAUGUGCGACCUGAAGAGAAAGGAACAAAUAUUAGAGGAUGCAAACAUGACCCUGAAAAGAAAGCUUGGCGAGAUCGAGCUGGAGGCGACACCUGAUCCCCCGCAGCAGCAGCAGCAGAUGUGGCAGGGCGACCGGGGCGUGCCGCCUCACACGCCUCCGCAGCCAGAGCACUUCUUCCAGGCCCUAGAAUGCUAUCCUUCUCUACAGCCAGUAUUUCGUGGCAUGGAUGUGAACCAGCCGCCGCCUGCAUGGAUGGUAUAG
rnacentral:rRNA from 1 species